rnacentral:rRNA from 1 species
AGUGAACGCUGGCGGUAGGCCUAACACAUGCAAGUCGAACGGCAGCACAGUAAGAGCUUGCUCUUACGGGUGGCGAGUGGCGGACGGGUGAGGAAUACAUCGGAAUCUACUUUUUCGUGGGGGAUAACGUAAGGAAACUUACGCUAAUACCGCAUACGACCUACGGGUGAAAGCAGGGGAUCUUCGGACCUUGCGCGAUUGAAUGAGCCGAUGUCGGAUUAGCUAGUUGGCGGGGUAAAGGCCCACCAAGGCGACGAUCCGUAGCUGGUCUGAGAGGAUGAUCAGCCACACUGGAACUGAGACACGGUCCAGACUCCUACGGGAGGCAGCAGUGGGGAAUAUUGGACAAUGGGCGCAAGCCUGAUCCAGCCAUACCGCGUGGGUGAAGAAGGCCUUCGGGUUGUAAAGCCCUUUUGUUGGGAAAGAAAAGCAGCAGGUUAAUACCCCGCUGUUCUGACGGUACCCAAAGAAUAAGCACCGGCGAACUUCGU